rnacentral:sRNA from 1 species
CGGAAAAUAUGUUUGUUUGUCGGUUUAGCUUAUAGAAAUGUAUUUUUUUUUGCCGGCAUAUGUAUUGUAAUAGGAAAACGGUCUAUUUUCCCAUGAUAACUAUGACAUCAUGCCAGAUAGAGCCCGAACAAUGACCACAAUCCAGAUGUCCACGAAAAGAUACUUCUCGAUCUAUAUCUCCCAAAAUCGAUAGUUUCAUCUAUUUCCCCAUAUAUUUGGGUUUAAUCGGUUUGCUGACCAGACCCUAUAAAAUCCACUCAAACCGAUACCAAACCACUUUAUAUGUCAAACCUUCUUAAAAAAAAAUAAAAAA